AGUUUUGUUUAACAUUUUUCUGCUGGGAGGUGUUAUGUGGAAAAUGUCCAUUAGCUCCAACAUGCUUCACUUUCUAUGUUGUCGUGGAGGGCAGACAAAUGAAUUGGAUCUGCUCUGAUUCUUCCCAGGAUGCUUCUUUUACAAGCCAUUUUCAAGUCAGUGAGAGCUAUGCAAGAGGAGGUAGUGCUGAGGACAUCUUCAUGCUGCAUUGCACCUUAAAAAGUGCUACGGAAGCACACUGCUGCAAUUUGACACCAGAAACGUGUGUGUCUCUAACCUUCCUCCACCAUCUUCCCAGUGCUGAUGUUGCUCUUAAAAAAAAAAUACUCAAGCUACACAGAGGACAGGGAGGAAAAGAAGCCCCAGGAAGGCAUAAAAUGACUUUGUAAAAAGAAGCAUCUUUGUCAGAGACUUUGUUAAAUAAUAAAUGCCUGUAUAUGAGUUA